GCCUGCUUGGCGAAGUGGCAUCGCAUCUGUCUUGUAAUCCAAGAAUUAGAAAACAGAAGAUCGCCGGUUCGAAUCCGGUAGUAGGCA